UACGUAGGGGCCUAGCGUUGUCCGGAUUUAUUGGGCGUAAAGAGCGUGUAGGCGGCCAAACAGGUCCGUUGUGAAAACUGGAGGCUCAACCUCCAGACGUCGACGGAAACCGUGUGGCUAGAGUCCGGAAGAGGAGAGUGGAAUUCCUGGUGUAGCGGUGAAAUGCGCAGAUAUCAGGAAGAACACCAAUGGCGAAGGCAGCUCUCUGGGACGGUACUGACGCUGAGACGCGAAAGCGUGGGGAGCGAACAGG
rnacentral:rRNA from 1 species